rnacentral:lncRNA from 1 species
AGGCUGGCUGCUCUAAGUUGAUCUGGUGCCUUGGUCACUCGUGGCUUCUUUCUUCUAUGCCAGCUCUGUCUUCUCUACACUUCCUCUGGAGGAGUAGGCCUUGACACAAUUACAAGAAGUCAGGGACCCUGAACAGAGGGACCAGCUGAAGUCACAGCAGAAGAACAUAAAUUGUGAAGAUUUCAUGGACAUUUAUUAGUUCCCCAAAUUAAUACUUUUAUAAUUUCUUAUGCCUGUCUUUACUGCAAUCUCUGAACAUAAAUUGUGAAGAUUUCAUGGACAUUUAUCACUUCCCCAAUCAAUACUCUUAUAAUUUCCUAUGCCUGUCUUUAAUCUCUUAAUCCCAUCAUCUUCCUAAACUGAGGAUGUAUGUCGCCUCAGGACCCUGUGAUGAUUGCAUUAUCUGCACAAGUUGUUUGUAAAGCGUGUGUGUUUGAACAAUAUGAAAUCUGGGCACCUUGAAAGGAACAGGAUAACAGUGAUUUUCAGAGAACAAGGGAGAUAACCAUAAGGUCUGACUGCCUGCAGGACCGGGCAGAACAGAGUCGUAUUUCUCUUCUUACAGAAAGCGAAUAGGAGAAAUAUUGCGAAUUCUUUUCUCAGCAAGGAAUAGCCCUGGGAAAGGAAAGCAUUCCCAGGGGGAGGUCUCUAAAAUGGCUGCUCUGGGAGUGUCUGUCUUAUGUGGUUGAAGAUAAGGGAUGAAAUACACCCUGGUCUCCUGCAGCGCCCUCAGGCUUGCUAGGAUUAGGAAAUUCCAGCCUGGCGAAUUCUAAUCAGACCAGUUGUCUGCUCUCGAACCCUAUUUCCUGCUAAGAUGUUUAUCAAGACAAUGCGUGCCCAGUGGGACAUGGAACCUCAUCAGUAAUUCUAAUUUCACCCUGGCCCUGUGAUCUCGCUCUGCCCUUCUGCGCUUGUAAUCUUUUAUUGCCUCUUGAAGCAUGUGAUCUGUGUGAUUUACUCCCUGUUCAUACCCCCUUCCCCUUUUCAAAUCCCUAAUAAAAACUUGUUGGUUUUGCGGCUCAAGGGGCAUCACGGAACCUGCCGACAUGUGAUGUCACCCCUGGAGGCCCAGAUGUAGAAUUUCUCUCUUUGUACUCUUUCUCUUUAUUUCUCAGACUGGCCGACACUUAGGGAAAAUAGAAAAGAACCUACAUUGAAAUAUUGGGGGCUGGUUCCCCCAAUACUUUGGUUUUGUUUUUCUUUUUGUUUUAUUUUCUGUAUGCGAAAGCUUCAAGUAUUGAUCCAACAUGUUUUCUAAUAUAAGCAUUUAGUGCUAUAAAUUUCCCUCACAGCUCUUGGGUAUUGGUAUACCACACAUUUUUAUAUGCUGUAUUUUCAUUUGAUUCUGGGUAGAUACUUUUGUUAUUCUUUGUUUGUUUGUUUCUAUUUCCCAUGAGAUGAGACUUCUUCUUUGACCCAUGGAUUAUUUAGAAGGGAGUUGUUUAGUUUCUAAGUGUUUGGAAAUUUUCCUGUUACCUUUUUCCUGUUGAUUUCUAAUUUGAUUCUAUUUUGGUUAGAAAGCAUAUUCUGUAUGAUUUCAGUUUUUUUAAUGUCACAGGACAUAAUUCCAAAAGUCCCUGUGGACCUUUCUCUUCUGUUUUUGUCUCCCUUCUCUCUGUUGGUCAGGGUAGUUUCUCUUUCCAGGUUCACUGGUUCUCUCCUCUCUCCUUUCCACUCUGUUGUAGAGCCUGUCUACUGAGCUAUUUAUUUCAAUUCUUUCAUUUUGUUUGAAAUUUUAUUUGAGAUGGAAUCUGACUCUGUCACCCAGGCUGGAGUGCAGUGGCAUGAUCUCUGCUCACUGCAGCCUCCACCUCCCAGGCUCAAGUGAUUCUCCUGCCUCAGCCUCCUGAGUAGCUGGGAUUGUAGGUGCCUACCACCACACCUGGCUAAUUUUUAUAUUUUUAGUAGAGACAAGGCUUCAUUAUGUUGGCUAGGCUGGUCUCAAACUCCUGACCUCAGGUGAUCUGCCCACCUUGGCCUCUCAAAUUGCUGGGAUUACAGGCGCAAUUAUUCCAUGUUUUUAUUCUUUUCUUUUCUUUUUUUUUUUUUUUUAGACAGAGUCUCGCACUGUCACCCAGGCUGGAAUGCAGUGGCGCGGUCUCGGCUCACUGCAAGCUCUGCCUCCCGGGUUCACACCAUUCUCCUGCCUCAGCCUCCUGAGCAGCCAGGACUACAGGCACUGGCCACCACGCCCGGCUAAUUUUUUUGUAUUUUUAGUAGAGACAGGGUUUCACUGUAUUAGCCAGAAUGGUCUCGAUCUCCUGAACUUGUGAUCCCCCCGCCUCGGCCUCUGAAAGUACUGGGAUUACAGGCAUGAGCCACUGUGCCCGGCCUCAUGUUUUUAUUCUUAAAAUUUUUAUUUGAUUUUUCUGUGUGUCUUCUAUUUUACUUCUAUUUUUCUACCUUUUCUUUUGAUUCAAGCAUUUAUGUAAUUGCUCACUGGGGCCUUUUCAUGGGAUGUGCUUUAAAAAUCUCUUUUUAGAGAGCCCUGGGUGGUGGGGUGAGCAUGGAAGUCUGCCUCCCUGCCCCCUCCUUAGCUGAAGGUGGUGGGGAUGGAGCCACAUUUUUUUCCUGUGGUGUUUUCCUAGAGUUGGGUGGUUACUGUCUAAAAGUUUUCUGGCUUGUUAGGCUGAUCCUUUAGUGGGGCUUUUUUUUUUUUCCUCUAUUUCCAUUACCAUUUCCAGGUUGAUUCUUCUUCAGCUCCAACUAUAGAAUACAUGAGAUGACAAAACCACCCAAGUCCCAGGGGCCUUAGCCAGCCUGCUUUUCUCUACCUUUCAUAUUCAUCUUAUGUUUGUUUUAAAUAUAACUUCCAGCAUUGUUAUCUACACUUAAUAGGAGAAGCAGAGAAAGGUGUUUACUCCAUUUUGUCUGGAAGUGGAAGUCCAUUGUUUUUAUUUUUUAAAGUAUUUUAUUUUACUUAGCAAUCAGCAGUACAUAGUAGUUUGACAAAGCAGAAAGUGCAUGCAUUUCCCUUUCAGUGUUAACUGUGAACACCUGGCUGUCUCUCUUCAUGAAUAUUUAUGGAGAUAAGUGUUGGGCAUUGUAGUAAGGCGAAAAGAGAGAUGAAAAGAUGAAUGGAUGAAGAGACAGAAAGAAAACUGGCAUUGUUUAGUAAUAAAUAGGUUUAAUAACAAAAAAAUUAAUGUUACUCAAAUUUAAAAAGAAAAAGUAACUAGAGAACUAAAGAAAUUGCUGUUCUUCAAGAGAACUAUAUUGAACAAGAGGAAAUCCUUGUUUUGUAAUAUUUCUCUAUGAGUGAAAGAAAGAAGGUAAGACAGUUAUGAGAGACUCAGUAUGUUUGUGUCCACAUGAUUAGACAUUCAACCUUGCUUACAUUUCUUCUCCCUCUCUUUUGUCCUCUAUGGACUGUUUUUUAAAUUGUUGUAAAAUUAUUUUUACUUUGUCAAGAUUUACUUAUUUAAAUUUUUGUUCCGGACCCAUAUUUAUUCCUGUAACUGUUUUUCUCAAUUUAACAUUUAAAUUCUCAUUAUACCAUGUGUUCUACAUUGAUCAAUUAAAUGGUUCCAACCACCCUCUUACAAGGACAAAAAAGAAAAAAAUAUGUCUGGUCUUAACAACAAUGUAGUAAGCCAAGAAAGAAAAAUAAAAUGUAUAAAGAUUGGGGUAAAAAAACAGCCCUCAUUACCAUUCAUUCUGUAGUAAUUUUAUUCCCUAGUUCUUCAUUGUGAUCCUCCCUUUUUUCUUGGGUAGGGGGGUGGAUUUAAGUAUCAAGUAGUUAAAAUGUUCUCCUCUCAACCUGUAUCUUGAAUAAUGAGAAGAAAAAUGUUCUUCUCUUUGUCUUUGCACGUUUGAGAAUCCCUACUAAAUUUAUUAGCUCCAUAAUACAUUUUUGUUCUCAGAGUAAUUCAUAGCUUUUCAUCUCUCUUUUUAAAAAAAUCAUGUUGGGUGGUGUGUAUUUCAUUAAAUUCAUGUCCUUAUUGAAUUACUCUAUAGCACAAGCAUUUUUAGAAGAUUUCUUGUAUUCCUUGGAUCUUAGUUUUCCCAGAAUGUGUUCUUCCUUGGAUGUUUUUCAUACCAUGUUCUUUCUCUCCUGUAUUGGUGUUAUUUCUGUGCAUAAUGAUAAUGACAGGAUCCUUUUUAAAAAAUAUUAUUGAUCCUAACGUGGCUGGUUUUAGCCAGACCUCUAAUUGGCUGUGAUUAGUACAGAUGGGUUCUUGUAGACACUCCUCCAAAAAUAUUUGUGACAUCUGUCUUCUAAGCUGCAUCUAAUGCAUUUGAUGUUGCAUUCUCUGUUCCUUUUUAAUAGCAGAGGCCUUGGGGUAGGGGAUGGGAGAACCUGUCUAAGAAAACCUUUAGCUCUUUGUUGUAGGCCUGAAGACUGUUCUUUCCCCUCUCAACUUUGAAUAAAUACUCCUGGGGUCUCAUUCUCCCAACUCUACAUAUUGCCUCAAAAAUUGGCAAGCCCCUGGCAGCCCCUCCCAGUGUCUGCAGAAGAGUAGUGUAUAAGGGCUUCUGCUCUUGAUGGUGUAUUUCCUUGAUUUUUCCUCUCAAGCUGCCUACUCUACCUGCAUCUCCCCAUCUUUUAACAGUGCCUAUUAAAUGAUGGCCCAUCAAUAUUGUUACUGUAAUUCCUAAACUGAUUUUCAAAGCAUUCUUAUUUUUUUCUAUCAGAGAUAAAUAAAUCAUUUAGGAAGAGAUUCAUUUGAACAUUCUUGUUUAUAAGCCAAAGGGUUUCCAAAGAGGAAUAGUUUGAAGAUUGACAAAAAUGGGGAUAAUUUGUGAGAGUGAAUGCCUGGAGAGUAUCAGGGAACAUCUAGAACAUACAAUAAGAGGAUACAUGGAAGGGCAACUUUUCCUUUGAGACAGGAAGGGAAAGACAUAUGGAUGAAAUGAGUGAAAUUAUACAGAGUUGGGAUUUCCUCUUGAUGGCUUCUUCUUCAGGUAACCACAGAGUCUGAGCACUAUCAAAAAUUCUUCCUGGGCCAGGCAUGGACUCCUAGUGGAUUGCCUGAGCUCAGGAGUUCAAGACCAGCCUGGGUAACAUGGUGAAACCCCAUCUCUACUAAAAAUACAAAAAAAUUAGCCAGGCCUGGUGGCAUGUGCCUGUAAUCCCAUCUACUUGGGAGGCUGAGGCACAAGAACCACUUGAACCUGGGCGGCGGAGGCUGCAGUGAACUGAGAUCGUGCCACUGCACUCUA